AGUGAACGCUGGCGGUAGGCCUAACACAUGCAAGUCGAACGGCAGCACAGUAAGAGCUUGCUCUUACGGGUGGCGAGUGGCGGACGGGUGAGGAAUACAUCGGAAUCUACUUUUUCGUGGGGGAUAACGUAGGGAAACUUACGCUAAUACCGCAUACGACCUACGGGUGAAAGCAGGGGAUCUUCGUACCUUGCUCGAUUGAAUGAGCCGAUGUCGGAUUAGCUAGUUGGCGGGGUAAAGGCCCACCAAGGCGACGAUCCGUAGCUGGUCUGAGAGGAUGAUCAGCCACACUGGAACUGAGACACGGUCCAGACUCCUACGGGAGGCAGCAGUGGGGAAUAUUGGACAAUGGGCGCAAGCCUGAUCCAGCCAUACCGCGUGGGUGAAGAAGGCCUUCGGGUUGUAAAGCCCUUUUGUUGGGAAAGAAAAGCAGCAGGUUAAUACCCCGCUGUUCUGACGGUACCCAAAGAAUAAGCACCGGCUAACUUCGUG
rnacentral:rRNA from 1 species